rnacentral:rRNA from 1 species
CCUACGGGAGGCAGCAGUGGGGAAUAUUGCGCAAUGGGGGAAACCCUGAUGCAGCGACGCCGCGUGAGUGAAGAAGUAUUUCGGUACGUAAAGCUCUAUCAGCAGGGAAGAAAAUGACGGUACCUGACUAAGAAGCCCCGGCUAACUACGUGCCAGCAGCCGCGGUAAUACGUAGGGGGCAAGCGUUAUCCGGAUUUACUGGGUGUAAAGGGAGCGUAGACGGCAGCGCAAGUCUGGAGUGAAAUCCCAUGGCUUAACCAUGGAACUGCUUUGGAAACUGUGCAGCUAGAGUGCAGGAGAGGUAAGCGGAAUUCCUAGUGUAGCGGUGAAAUGCGUAGAUAUUAGGAGGAACACCAGUGGCGAAGGCGGCUUACUGGACUGUAACUGACGUUGAGGCUCGAAAGCGUGGGGAGCAAACAGGAUUAGAUACCCCUGUAGUC